rnacentral:lncRNA from 1 species
UCUUUACAAAAAACAGAUAUAUAUACGGCUUUGCCCUCAUACUCCAGGCGAAGAUAUUGAUCCAUUUCUUCAUCCUGAGGUUAAGAUAAAUCUAGCGAAUUUUCCACUGGAUGCCCCUACUAGCUCCUUUUUACUUGAUCCAGGCUGCGACUCAUUGCUCACUUAUCCUCGUGAUACUUGUUAGCUUCUUUAAAAGAAAAGGUCGGGACGUUGCUGACUCUCGAAGCAAAGUCGUGUACUCCUCCGUUAGACUAUCACCUUUCUCUUGUUGUGUUUUCCCGGAACAUAUUUGGACAGCCAUAUUAUCUUCCACUUUAUCAAGAAAUUCAUUUUCCAUGACAAGCUCUGUAUUUAGCAACUGCACGUAAAUCAACACCUCUCUUCGAUGAUGAAAAUGCAAUACAAUCAUAACCAAAAUAAAACGAAAUAGGUUAGUACAAUGCAAAAGCAAACAAGAAAAAAAUAAAUAGAGCACCUAUUCGGGUGACCACUAAGGUUUGGCGUGGUUCUACCUAGGGUAGGCCCUUAGAGCUCACUAUAUGCGGUUUGGUUCUAAAGUAAAGGUACCUGAACCAACAGAUUCCUCGAUCCUCACCCAUUAUAGGCUCAUAUGGACCGAGUUCAGUUCAGGGGAAAACAUUUCCCUAUGGCUGCACGGAGAUGAAAAUCUCACGAAGACAUAGGUAAAUGUAUCCCGAAAGCGAUCCACUAUCCUGCAUGGAGGUGAAAACCUCACGAAGGAAUAGUUUCUCACUUCCACUUAAAAGGGUAUAACCGAACGAUUAUGCAAAUGCAAUAUGCAAAAAUAUGUCGAGAGACUUGAACAAAUAAAGCAAAUAUAGCAAAAUGUCGCAAACUAUAAAAAUGAAAUGCAACGAAAGGAUCGUAAAUUUAAACCAAAUUAUCAACUUUCGACAAAAAGACAAGAAAUAAUCAACUCGUGGCUUGACUCUCUUAUUUUGUCCCCAGUGAAGUCGCCAAGCUGUCGAAACACUUUUAUUUUGAAAAUGAAAAUGAAAACAAAAAAAACGGGAGUCGCCACCGACAUUUUUUGAGGUGUACUAAUAAAAUGUUAAGCUAACAAAUGACUACAAUGCGAGUGUACUAAUAAACAAAUCAUAGCAUAUGUAAUGAUAAUGAUCACUAUACAUACAUCACUUUAAUACUAAUAUUAACAAUCAAAGAAAAAUAAAAUCAAUAAUAAUACAAUGAAUAAUAAUAAUAAUAGCAAUAACAAUAAUAAAAUAAACACAACAAGACAAUAUCAAAUUUAAAAGAACAAGGGAAUUAACAAAUUAAUACACAAAUAAACAGUGAAGAAAAUCAUUUAUAAAAUAUUAAAAGGACAAUAAAAAAUGAGUGAAAUUAAAGUUGUAGUAAUAAUAAUAGUAAUAAUAAUAAUAUAAAAAAACGACAAUAAUAAAAUAUAAAAGGUAAGAAUGAAAUGAAAAAUGAACUUUAAAAGGCUAAACUUAAAUAAAUAAAGGAUUUAAUUGAAAUUAAACCAAAUUUAAGAGAUGAAUUAAGAAAAAAAUAAACAAAUGACCUAAUUGAAAGGCGCGAAUAACUCAGAGGGACCAAAUGGCGAAAUAUUUCCGCCCUCUGAAACACCCCGUUUAAUGCGGGACCAAAAUGAAACAAAAAUAAAAUUACGCGACCAAAUUAAAAGAAAAAGAAAAGAAAGAAAAAAAAGGACCAAAUUGAAAACCACUCAAAACCAGAGGGACCAAGGCGACAAUUAAACGCGUGGAUCCCAUUUGGCAAUCCAAUCGAGUCAUCAAAACGGCACCGUUUCAGGCGUCUGACUCCUCAAAUGGUCAAAGGACCAAAUAUAAAAUAACUAAAAUUAAGUGAUGAAAUUUAAAAAAAGUACUAAACUGAAACAGACCGAAAAAAUGGAAGGGCUAAAUGCGACAAUUGCCCAUUAAUCAAAAACACGCGGAUCCUUCCCUCGGGUCAGGUCAAUGCGCGGGUUAGGGGUAUGUAAGGAACAAAACAGUGUCGUUUAAGGGUUAUAGAUAUCAGCCCUAAAUGACGCCGUAUGAAUAGCCUAUAAAACUAUUUUUUUCUAAAAUUUUAUUUCAUUCUCAGUUUAAAAAAAACAAUAAUUCUCUCCGCCUUUUCUCUCAAUUCCAGAAUCUGGCCAUGGCUCCGACGCUGGACCACCGUGGCGGCCGCCGGUCGCCGACUAUGGCGCUGCCGUCCAUGGUGGCUUAAAAAUCGAAAGAAGCCUAUUUUUUGGGCUUUUCGAUUCCCCGACCCAAAAAACUGCCAAUUUUUAUCGGAAUCGGCAGACCUCUCUCUCUGACGAAGCAAAAAAAGGGCAUGCUUUCUUCCUUUUUAUAUUUUUCUUUUUUUAUUUUUUCUGUAAAAGAAAUCAAAACAAUAUAAAAAUAAAAAAUUAAAAAAAGGAAGCUACCUCAGAAACGAU